GAUAAGAUAGGAUAGGAUAGAAAGGUUGGGUUGGAAUGGAAUGGGAUAGGUUGUGAUAGGGUAGGUUAAUGUAGGAAAGUAUAGGGUAGGUAGGAAAGGAUAGGGCAAUGUAGGAUCAGAUAAAGUAAGGUAGGGUAGGCUAGGGUAGGGUAGGAUAGUGUAGGAUACUGUACCAUAUGGUAGGGUAGGAGAGGGUAGGAUAGGCUAGAGUGGGGAAGGGUGGGGUAGGGUGUUGUAGGGUAGAGUAUGGUAUGAUACGAUCAGAUGGGAUAGGGUAGGGUAGGCUAGGAUAGGGUAAGGUAGGGUAGAGUGGAUGGGAUGCAAUAGUGUAGGGUAGGGCAGGAUAGGGUGGGAUGGGAUGGGUUAGAAUAGCAUACUAAAGGGUUGGAUACAAUAGGGUAGGAUUGGAUAGGAUAGGGUAUAGUAGGGUAGGAUAGGGUACAGUUGGGUAAGGCAGGAUAGGGUAGGGCUGUAUAGGGCAGAAUAAGGUAGGGUAGGGCAGUGUAGAGAACGGUAGGAUGGAAUGGGAUGGGAUGUGAUAGGGUAGGGUUGGAUAGGGUAGGGUAGGAUAGGGUAGGGUAUGAUUGGAUAUGGAAGGUUAGGAUAGAACAGGGUAGGGUUUGGUAGGGUAGGAUAGGACAGGAUAGGGUGGCGUAGGGUGUAGAAGAGUAGGGUUGGGUAAGAUACAAUAGAAUAGAAAAGAGUAGGGUAGGCUCGGAUAGGGAAAGGUACGGUAGCGUGGAAUGAGAUGGAAUGCAGUAGGAUAGGGCAGGGGAGGGUAGGGUAGGAUAAGAUAGGAUAGGGAAAGGUAGGAUAGAACAGGAUAGUGUAGGGUAGGUAAAGUAGGGUAGGAGAAUCGGAUGCAAAGGGAUAUGGUGUAAUAGGGGAGGGUAAGUUAGGAUAGGAUAGGGUAGGCUAGGCUAGGAUAAGAUACGGUAGGGUAGGAUAGGAUAGGGUAGGGUAGGGCAGGGUUGGGAAAGAUAGGGUAGAAUAGAGUAGGGUAGGGAAGAAUAGAUUUGGGAAGGGUAGGGUAGGAUAGGAUAGGGAAUUGUAUGAUAGGAUAGUGUAGGGUAGGAAAAGGAUGGAUAAGAGAGAACAGGCUAGGGUAGGUUUGGGUGGGGGUGGUGUAAACUAGGUUAGGGUAGGGAACAGUUGGGUAGGGUAGGAUAGGGCGGGAUACGGUAGGAUAGCCUUGG
ensembl:lncRNA